AUCGCUACGUAGGUGACCUGCGGAGGACAUUA
rnacentral:rRNA from 1 species